rnacentral:misc_RNA from 1 species
AUUUCUCAACCUCACCAGCUUUUGUUGUGUGAAGGCUUGGAUGUGGGGGUUGCAGGUCCGCAUUUAUGUGGUCUGCUCCUCUAAAACGUAUUAGUGGGUUAGUCCCCUAAUCUAUUGGUGUGAUAAUUAUCUACGCCGUGGAUUUGGAUGGCUAUUAUAGACCCGCUUCUAACCGUCCCUCGGGACAAUUUUGACAC